ACUCAAAGGAAUAGACGGGGGCCCGCACAAGCGGUGGAGCAUGUGGUUUAAUUCGACGCAACGCGAAGAACCUUACCAAGGCUUGACAUCCCGCUGAAAGUUAUAGAGAUAUAACUGACCUUUAGGGGACAGCGGAGACAGGUGGUGCAUGGUUGUCGUCAGCUCGUGUCGUGAGAUGUUGGGUUAAGUCCCGCAACGAGCGCAACCCUUAUGUUUAGUAGCGACCGGGAGAGCCGAGCACACUAAAGAGACUGCCGUGGAGAACACGGAGGAAGGUGGGGACGACGUCAAAUCAUCAUGCCCCUAAUGUCUUGGGCUACACACGUGCUACAAUGGACGAAACAAAGUGAAGCGAAACAGUGAUGUGGAGCAAAACACAAAAAGCGUCCUCAGUUCGGAUUGCAGUCUGCAACUCGAGUGCAUGAAGUUGGAAUCGCUAGUAAUCGCGAAUCAGCAUGUCGCGGUGAAUACGUUCCCGGGCCUUGUACACACCGCCCGU
rnacentral:rRNA from 1 species